ACAGAGGGUGCAAACGUUGUUCGGAAUUACUGGGCGUAAAGCGCGUGUAGGCGGCUUGGCAAGUCGGGUGUGAAAGCCCUGGGCUCAACCUAGGAAGUGCACUCGAAACUGCUUCGCUGGAGUGUCGGAGAGGAAAGCGGAAUUCUCGGUGUAGAGGUGAAAUUCGUAGAUAUCGAGAGGAACAUCGGUGGCGAAGGCGGCUUUCUGGACGAUUACUGACGCUGAGACGCGAAAGCGUGGGGAGCAAACAGGA
rnacentral:rRNA from 1 species